CCGCCGCCGCGACCCUGGCUCCACGGCGCCUGCGCGGCCCGGCUCCGCUUCCGCUUCCGUCGCGUCCUUCCGGUUCCGUCGUGGAACCUGUGACCCGGCUGCUCCCCGGCCGAACUCGCGGGCUCUGCCUGCCGUUCGCACCUCCCCGAGGCGCCCGGCCCCCGGGGCUGUCGCAGGUCGGAGUCGCCGGACCUUGUUAGCUCGCUGCGUCCUGUCGUCCCGCACGCGGGAGGGGGCUUUGCCCACCCCCGGGCCGACGGGCUGGGUCAGCAGGAGCCCCGGCGUGUGUGGCCUCGGACCCGACGCUGCGCCUUCGAAGCCUCCCAGUGGCCGGCGACGCCCCUGGUGGUCUGCGCCUCGCGCCCUUUUCAGCCCGCUGUUAUUUGGCCCUGAAAUGCCCGCCCCACUCCUGGACCCCGUUAAUGGGAAGCACUAAUAAGUCUGCGGAGUUACAGGCACGGAUUCUGAAGGCAGCAGGCUGAACUUGGCUUGUGGACUCCACUCCUGGCCUCUCCCUAAACGCAGUGGGUCUUCACGUGAGCUUUGGGGGAGAACAGGAUUCGCUACGCCUCUUCCCCGGUGGUUUAGGGGUUUUGUUCUGUGGGAGAGAUGACCUGCUGCAGCGGCAGGUCUCACUGUUCUGUUUCACCAGGCCACAGUCUUCUUCGACAUCCUGCAUAGUUAGUGGGAUCUCUGGACCAAUUCCCCAGGCUCUGUGAGACAUAUUCACUCAUUGCCUAUGGGGCUGCAACUGUAUCUCGUAGACCAGAAUUUACCCUACAUCUGUCAAUUCCACAUUUAAAGUUGCAUUUAAAUGGGACUGGUGUCUGGGACUCAUUCCUUUGGGGAAUUGAGAAUUAUAGUGAAGCCAGAAUUAGGCAGAUAGGCAAGGGUCAAAUCCAGAGAAUGGAGGGAUUGAAAUGUUAAUUCCUUCAGAGCCCUUCCUCCACCUUUAUCAAGAACCUGCCCCUGCUCCCACCUGUUGCUAAGAUCUGCCCAAUGAACUUGAUGAAGCAUGUCAGAUUUAACCUAUGAGGUACACUGUGGUAAUCCCAUGAAUGCUACAGCAGACUUAUUUUAAACAAGUUUGCUGGGCUGGGGAUGUGGCUCAAGUGGUAGCGCGCUCGCCUGGCAUGCGUGCGGCCUGGGUUCGAUCCUCAGCACCACAUACAAAGAUGUUGUGUCCGCCGAGAACUAAAAAAUAAAUAUUAAAAAAAAAAAAAUAA